rnacentral:rRNA from 1 species
UGGGUGAGAAAGUCCGGUUUGCUCGACUGAAGCCCGGACGCUCAGGAUGCGAGUGCCCAGUGGGCCACUUUUGGUAAGCAGAACUGGCGCUGUGGGAUGAACCAAACGACGGGUUAAGGGGCCCGAUGCAGGACGCUCAUGAGAACCCAUGAAAGGUGUUGGUUGCUAUAGACAGCAGGACGGUGGCCAUGGAAGUCGGAAUCCGCCAAGGAGUGUGUAACAACUCACCUGCCGAAGCAACUAGCCCUGAAAAUGGAUGGCGCUUCAGCGUCGACCCCAUACCCGUCCGCUGCGGCCGAGAUGGGAUCUCUUUAAGCCGCAGCGAGUAGGAGGGCGCGGGGGCGUGCGUGGAAGGUGCCGGGCGUGAGCCCGCCUGGAGCCGCCCCCGGUGCAGAUCUUGGUGGUAGUAGCAAAUACUCAAGUGAGAACCUUGAGGACUGAGGUGGAGAAGGGUUCCAUGUGAACAGCAGUUGAACAUGGGUCAGUCGGUCCUAAGGGAUGUCCGAAAGGAUUUCCGAAGGGGGGACCUCUUUUUGUCUUUGCCGGUCCCCCCCAUGACCGAAAGGGAAUCGGGUUAAUAUUCCCGAACCCGGACACGGAGAUCGGUGCCCUCGGGCACACGUGCGGUAACGCAAUCGACCUCGGAGACGUCGACGGGGGUCCCGGGAAGAGUUGUCUUUUCUUUGUAAGGGUUCGGCUCCCUGGAAUCGGCUCGCCCGGAGAUAGGGAUGCUGAACCCGUAAAGCACCGCGCCUCUUGUGGUGUCCGGAGCGCUCCCGUCGGCCCUUGAAAAUCCGAGCGAGAGUUGGUGAUUUUCGUGCCGGCCCGUACCCAUAUCCGCAGCAGGUCUCCAAGGUGAACAGCCUCUAGUCGAU